rnacentral:rRNA from 1 species
AACGAACGCUGGCGGCAGGCUUAACACAUGCAAGUCGAACGCCCCGCAAGGGGAGUGGCCGACGGGUGAGUACCGCGUGGGAACAUACCCUUUCCUGCGGAAUAGCUCCGGGAAACUGGAAUUAAUACCGCAUACGCCCUACGGGGGAAAGAUUUAUCGGGGAAGGAUUGGCCCGCGUUGGAUUAGCUAGUUGGUGGGGUAAAGGCCUACCAAGGCGACGAUCCAUAGCUGGUCUGAGAGGAUGAUCAGCCACAUUGGGACUGAGACACGGCCCAAACUCCUACGGGAGGCAGCAGUGGGGAAUAUUGGACAAUGGGCGCAAGCCUGAUCCAGCCAUGCCGCGUGAGUGAUGAAGGCCUUAGGGUUGUAAAGCUCUUUCACCGAUGAAGAUAAUGACGGUAGUAGGAGAAGAAGCCCCGGCUAACUUCGUG